UCACACUUAUCAAACUUUUUUUAGGAAAUCACACUUAUCAAACUAUUGAAACUUGUAUUUAUUUUUUUUAAAAAGUAUUCAACCAUAAAACACAAAUAACAGGUAGAUGCUCCAUUGAUAAAUUAUGAAGGUGUGAACUAUGGAUCAAUUAAAAAAACAACCUGUAGUACAGAGAUACGGGUAAAUUGAAAUGAAAAAGUUCAAGUUACUACCUCAAAUACAGCUAAAGUUCGGAUAACUCCAUAAAGUAUUAUUUGGC
rnacentral:lncRNA from 1 species